rnacentral:rRNA from 1 species
CCUACGGGAGGCAGCAGUAGGGAAUAUUGCUCAAUGGGCGCAACCCUGACGCAGCAACGCCGCGUGGAGGAAGAAGGUUUUCGGAUUGUAAACUCCUUUUGAUAGAGAAGAUCAUAACGGUAUACCCCUUAUAAGCACCAGCUCACUCCGUGCGCGCAGCCGCGGUAAUACGGAGGGGUCACGCGUUUCUCGGAGACACUGGGCGUAAAGAGCGCGUAGGCGGGGAAGCAAGUCAGAUGUGAAAUCCUCGGGCUUAACCCUAGAACUGCAUUUGAGACUGUUAUUCUUGAGUGUGGGAGAGGUAAGUGGAAUUCUUGGUGUAGGGGUAAAAUGCGUAGAGAUAAGGAAGAACACUAGUGGCGAAGGCGGACUACUGGAACAUAACUGACGGUGAUGCGCGAAAGCGUGGGGAGCAAACAGGAUUAGAUACCCGGGUAGUC